UUAUCUUAAUCAAUAAUGUUUUUGUUUUUCUUCAAUUGCAGAUAUGUCAAUGAUGCAAGGCCUUUCUGGCAAUAUAUAGUCAGUUACUCCACUGGCUGUUCAGAUUCCCAGUACUUUGAAGAACUUUACAACUACUAUAGCACUAACAAGGCUUGGCACCUCUGUGAUCCUGAUGCUGAGAAUGUAUUUAAAGCUCUUAGGAAAGCAGGCGUGAAGUUGGGUGUUGUGUCAAAUUUUGACACUCGGUUAAGACCUUUAAUGCGAUCUCUAAACUGUGACCAUUGGUUUGAUGCUGUGGCAGUUUCAGCUGAAGUUGAAGCAGAGAAGCCAAAUCCAACAAUAUUUCUAAAAGCUUGUGAUUUAUUGGGAGUAAAGCCCGAGGAUGCUGUACAUGUAGGGGAUGACCGUAGGAAUGAUAUAUGGGGUGCUACAGAUGCAGGCUGUGAUGCUUGGCUUUGGGGAAGUGAAGUUCACUCUUUUAAGGAGGACCUAGCAUAUUGAACAGAGACAAAGGCAUGCAAGUUCAUCCUGAAGUGCAAAAAGCCAUUGAAAAGGCAAACGUAAAGUUUCUUCCAGCUGAGGAAGCCAUCAAUUUCAUACCUGGCACCAAAACAAGGCAGGACUAUUGCUGUAGCUCAGAAUGUCACUUCUAAGUGUCAUCCGCUGACAAAAAAUACAUGUUUUGGUUCUACUGCUAAACGUGUAAAAACUAUUGGACUGGAAGAUAGACCUGGAAAACCAGUUGCUUCUGCUGUAAAUGCUAAACCAAAUUCAUUUGUCAUGAAGCGUCAUACGCUGCUUGAGUCACUACGCUGCUUGAUGAAAAGGCUGAUGAGGUCCUAAAGUGGGAUAUUUUGGAUUGUUGG